AUAAAAAAUUGUAUUGAAUCUUAAAAAUUUUAUUUUUAAACUAGGAUUAGAUACCCUAUUAUUUAAUUAUUUAAAGAUAUAAAAAUUAGAGUAGUAAUAGUUAUGAUCUUGAAACUCAAAAAAUUUGGCGGUAUUUUAGUCUAUUCAGAGGAACCUGUAAUUUAAUCGAUAAUCCACGAUGGAUCUUACUUAAUUUUGUAAUUUAAUUUGUAUAUCGCCGUUAUUUAAAAAUUUUAUAAGAAAAAUAAUUUUUAAAAAUUUUUAUUAAAAAAUAAAUCAGGUCAAGGUGCAGUUUAUGAUUAAGUUUUAUAUGGGUUACAAUAAAUUUAUUUAUACGGAUUUAAAAGUGAAAUAUUUUUAAGAAGGUGGAUUUGAUAGUAAAUUUUUAAAGAUAAAAGAAUUGAUUUUAGCUCUAAAAUAUAUACACAUCGCCCGUCGCUCUUGUUAAWAAUAUAAGA
rnacentral:rRNA from 1 species